rnacentral:rRNA from 1 species
AUGAACGCUGGCUACAGGCUUAACACAUGCAAGUCGAGGGGAAACGACGGGGAAGCUUGCUUCCCCGGGCGUCGACCGGCGCACGGGUGAGUAACGCGUAUCCAACCUGCCUCUGACUGAGGGAUAACCCGUCGAAAGUCGGCCUAAUACCUCAUGGCAUCGUCUGCGGGCAUCCAACGACGAUUAAAGAUUUCAUCGGUCAGAGAUGGGGAUGCGUCUGAUUAGCUUGUUGGCGGGGUAACGGCCCACCAAGGCGACGAUCAGUAGGGGUUCUGAGAGGAAGGUCCCCCACAUUGGAACUGAGACACGGUCCAAACUCCUACGGGAGGCAGCAGUGAGGAAUAUUGGUCAAUGGGCGAGAGCCUGAACCAGCCAAGUAGCGUGAAGGAUGACGGCCCUAUGGGUUGUAAACUGCUUUUAUGCGGGGAUAAAGUGAGGGACGUGUCCUUCAUUGCAGGUACCGCAUGAAUAAGGACCGGCUAAUUCCGUG